UACAGAGAAGACAGCAGAUGGAGCAAAGGAGCCUGAACAAGGCCAUUGUCAGUGCGGACAGGAAGGGACUGAGAGCUGCGUGAGCUUCUGAAAAAUAUCGGUGUCUUUCCUCGGACAUCGGAAAAGGCUGUACAUACCUCUCUGGAGUAAACUGAUCUGUAUUCCAGGCCACACAGAAGAAUCCCUGGUCGAAGAGGGAUCUCAGUAAAAACACAGCCCGAGGAUUUCAGGACAACAGGGAACUCAGCAAGAAGUAAUAGAAGGGCCAGAGAAGAGGUCCCCAGAGGACUGUUGCCAUGACGCCACACAAAAUCCUAAGAACCCGCACCAGGCUAUUGGUAGAGUGGAAGAGACCAGGGACCUCAUAGUUCACGGAGGAGACCUCCAGGACCGCCGAAGAAGUGCCCCCCUUCCAUCCAUCCUGGCAAGCUCUGCUUUCACUCCUGCAUCUCUACGGGUGGACUGGACUUGAAAAUUCCAUGACAAAAAUGAAGUUUGAAAGUCAAUGCUGGAAGACUUGGGCCACUGCGAAUAAGACAGGAUUGUGAUUGGCAGUGGGAAAAGGCCAAACGAUCAAUAGGUCCAUCAACAAGGGAAGACUUGAACAGACUGUGUGGCCUAGCCAGUGUGGGAACGAUGUUAGACAUGAGCAGUGAGAACUCCAUCCAGAAAUCAACCAGCACAGGGGUGUGGCCAUCUUGUUAAGGACCUGGAGCAAGGUUCAGGGUAAUGCAUGUGAUAUUGCUCUUAUAACACAAACAAGGUGAAGUCUGUGCUAUUUUUGUGUUUGUUGAUAUGAAAGAUAAAAUAAGAAAAAAAAAAGAUAAGAGGGCUGUGCACACCAGACCAGAUUGAUAUUUUGGAGACCUGCAAUUUAAAAGAGGUAAUUACCACAUUUCUUAGUGUGGGGGUGGGGAUACUUCUGCAUUGGGUAAGUGAUUCUAAGACAGUAUCUUUCUUUUUAUGUUUUUGUUUUUUUAAUUUGAAAAUAGCUAGAUUCAUCAAGAGUUGCAAAGUAGCACAGAGAUGCUUAUUUCUUCCAGCGGCAGCUCUUCCAUAAUGACAGAGUGGGAAUGGGCACCAGUGAGAGAGCUCACUAGCUUCAUAUGCAUGUGCACAUAUGUAUCAAAUAUAUAUAUAUAUAUCAUAUAUAUCAUAUAUACAUGGAGCUUUAUGUAGCUGUUACCAUUACCGUGUUAAGGAGACACACUGGCUUCACCACCACAAGAAUCCCUCACUUCAAAUCCCUGCCCCAUCUGCUCUGUUUCUCGCAACCAGUAACUCCUUUUCCAUCUCUAUCAACCUGUCAUUUCAGAAAUGAAGCAUGAAUGGAAUCAUAGUAUGUAAUGUCUUUUAAACAGCCUUUGAUUUCAUUCAGCAUGGUUUAUUUGCAAACCAUUCAAGUUGUUGCAUGCAUCAAUAAGUCAUUUCUUUCUGUAGCUAGGCAUGUAUCAUUGUUUGUUUAAGCAUUUGCCCUGUGAGGGACACAUAACGUUAUUUCCAUUUGGGGAAGUUUGGUUAUUACAAAUAAUGCUGCUUGGAGUACUUGUGUGCACGUUUUUUAAUGUGCGCAUAAUUUUUCAUUUCUCUGGUACAGAUGCUCAAGAAUGAGACUGCUGGGUUUAUAAGAUAAUUGCGUGCUUUGUUAUUUUUAAUAAUGUUUUUAGCUAUUACUUGACAAUUUCAUGUAUGUAUGUAAUAUAUUCUGGUCACACUCAUUCCCUUACAAUCCCUGCCAACUCUCUGCCCUACUUCUGUGUCCCCAUCCUGAUUUCAUGUCUUUUCGUUUUGUUUAUGUUUUAUCCUUGUGAUUCACUGGUUUGACUAGAGCUGCUUUUGUGGGCACGGGUGUGAACCUAUCCCCUGGAGCAUGAAUAACUCUUGAGUGGCUACUUCUCACCUGAAGUCCUGCCAUUAGCUCUCCAGGGAGGGUGAAGCCCCAAGAGCCCAUCAUGUCUAUGACUAAAUGUUUACAGUUCAGCCUUGUGUAGGCCCUCUGCAGGCAACUGCCAAGGCUGUGCCUUCAUGGGUGCCAUGCCAACAAGACAGCAUUUCAAGGCCUUGCUUCCUGUUCACCACGCUCCUUCACUUCUAACAUUCUCUCCACCCUCUUUCUUCUGUGAUGUUCCUUUGGAGGAGGUGAUAUUGAUGUUUGGUUUAAUGCUGAGACCCAACUGUCAAUUGUUCUUAGUGCCUUAAACAGCCACUAAGUACCAUUUGCUGAAAAGGGAAGCUUGAUCUAGGCUAAGGACAGCACUGGUCUAUCAUAAGCAUAAGUAUUUAAGAGAAAGUUUGACAACAUGUCCUACAAAAGUAGUAGGUCACCUCUAGUGCCUAUGGAUUCCCCAGCCAUUUUUGCCUUUGACCAGAUCCACAGUAGCAGACCUAGCUCCCUCCAAUAUCACCACAAACUUGCCUCUUAGAACAGCCUUCAUGGUGUCCCUUAAGUUUGGAUAUGAUGUGUUUUCAUUUUCAUUCAAUUUAAAAAAGGUUUUAAUUUCUUUCCUAAUUUCUAUCUUGACCUACUCUUAACUUGUUUGGUUUCAUGAGUUUGUAAUCUUUCUGUUGUUGUUUAUAUCUAGCUUUAAUCUUUGGUGGUCAGAUAGGAUGUUAUUUCAAUUUUCUUGGAUCUGAUGAGACUUGCUUUGUGUCUGAGUAUGUGGUCAAUUUUGGAGAAAGUUCCAUGAGGUGCUGAGAAGAAGGUGCAUUCCUUUGUGUUCAGGAGAAAUGGUCUGUAAAUAUUUGUUAUGUCCCUUUGGUUUAUGAUGUCAGUUAGCUCCAGCAUUGCUACUACUGCUUCUUUCUUCCUCCUCCUCUUCCUCCUCCCCUUCCUCCUCCCCCCUUCUUCUUUCCCAGCACUUUAGAUUUUGUCUGGAUGACCUGUCUAUUGGUGAGAGUGGGCUAUUGAAUUCUCCCAUUAUCAGUGUGUGAGGGGUGGUAAGUAAUUUAAGCUGUAACAAUGUUUCCUUUAUGAAUGUGGAUGCCCUUGAGUUUGGUGCAUAGAUGUUAAGAACUGUAAUGUCCUCUUGGUGGAUUUUUCUCUUGAUGAGUAUGUAAUAUUCUUCCCUAUCUCUUCUGAUUCAUUUUUGGUUUGAAGUCUAUUUUGUCAAAUAUUAAAAUGGCUAUACUAGCUUGCUUGGGAUAUAAUUUUCCAUUCUUUUACCUUGAGGUGAUGUCUAUUAUUGAUGUUAAACUGUGUGUCUUAGAUGUAACAGUAGGGUGGAUCCUGGUUUUGAAAUCAUUGUAUUAUUCCACAUCUUAUUGGUUAAUUGAGACAAUUGUGUUUGAGAGUUAUUAAUGAGGAGCAUUUGUUUAUUCCUAUUUUUGUUGUUAUUGCUGUGAUGCAGUUUUUCUCCCUUUGUUUGAUUUACUGCUAAGAUAUUAUUUAUUCCUUCAGUUUUCUUGGGUGUGGUUAGCCUCUUCUGGUUCAAGUUUUGUUUUUUUUUGUUUGUUUGUUUUUGUUUUUUUUUUUUGGUUUUUUUUUAGAGCCUUCUGUAAGGCUGGAUUUGUAGAUACAUACAUACUAAUUAAAUUUGGUUUUAUUGUGGAAUGUUUUUCUUUCUCCACCUCUUGUGAUUGAGUUUUUCUGGGUAUAGUAGUCUGAGCUGGCAUCUGUGUUCUCUCUGAGUUUGUAGUACAUCCAUGCAGGCCCUUCUGGCUUUUAGAGUCUGCAUUGAAAAGUCAAGUGUUAGUCUAAUAGGUCUGUCUUUAUAUGUUACUUGGUUGUGCUGGCUGCUUUUGUAUGUCAACUUGACAGAGGCUAGAGUCAUAAGAGAGGAAGGAGUUGAGGAAAUACUGAGAUCCAGGUGUAAAGCAUUUGUCAAUUAGUGAUUGAUGGGGGAGGGCCCAGCCCAUUAUGAGUGGUGCCAUCCCUGGGCUGAUGGUCCUGGGGUCUAAAAGAAAGCAGUCUCAGCAAACCAGGGGAAGCAAGCCAGUAAGCAGCACCUCUCCAUGGCCUCUGCAUCAGCUGCUGCCUCCAGGUUCCUGCCCUGCUUGAGUUCCUGUCCUGACUUCCUUCAGUGACGAACAGCAGUGAGGAAGUAUAAGACAAAUAAAGCUUUUCCUCCC